UCAGAUCAUAAACCAAAUAUACGUAUAAAUACAUACAAAACAAGCACAGUGUCUGUAUCCCAGCUACACGUGCAGAAUGUCGCGUUGUGCAUAUGUUUAGUUAUUUCAUGGCUGUCAUGUCUCGGUAACUUAAAGAGAUAAAUAUCAUCGUAAGUGACUUUUCCCACAUCCUUUCCCCUGUUCAUCCAAAUGAAGACAGAUAAAUGAAAAAAUCAGCUACUUGAGAGUCAAAAAGGAUUUUUGCCGUUUUGUAAAUUGCGG